rnacentral:rRNA from 1 species
GACGAACGCUGGCGGCGUGCUUAACACAUGCAAGUCGAACGGAAAGGCCCUGCUUUUGUUGGGUGCUCGAGUGGCGAACGGGUGAGUAACACGUGAGUAACCUGCCCUUGACUUUGGGGUAACUUCAGGAAACUGGGGCUAAUAUCGGGUAGGAGCUCCUGCUGCAUGGCGGGGGUUGGAAAGUUUCGGCGGUUGGGGAUGAACUCGCGGCUUAUCAGCUUGUUGGUGGGGUAGUGGCUUACCAAGGCUUUGACGGGUAGCCGGCCUGAGAGGGUGACCGGCCACAUUGGGACUGAGACACGGCCCAGACUCCUACGGGAGGCAGCAGUGGGGAAUAUUGCACAAUGGGCGGAAGCCUGAUGCAGCAACGCCGCGUGAGGGAUGACGGCCUUCGGGUUGUAAACCGCUUUCGCCUGUGAAGAAGCGAGAGUGACGGUAAUGGGUAAAGAAGCACCGGCUAACUACGUG